rnacentral:rRNA from 1 species
CUUGCUCUUGUGGAUCAGUGGCGAACGGGUGAGUAACACGUGAGCAACCUGCCCCUGACUCUGGGAUAAGCGCUGGAAACGGCGUCUAAUACUGGAUAUGUGACGUGACCGCAUGGUCUGCGUUUGGAAAGAUUUUUCGGUUGGGGAUGGGCUCGCGGCCUAUCAGCUUGUUGGUGAGGUAAUGGCUCACCAAGGCGUCGACGGGUAGCCGGCCUGAGAGGGUGACCGGCCACACUGGGACUGAGACACGGCCCAGACUCCUACGGGAGGCAGCAGUGGGGAAUAUUGCACAAUGGGCGAAAGCCUGAUGCAGCAACGCCGCGUGAGGGAUGACGGCCUUCGGGUUGUAAACCUCUUUUAGCAGGGAAGAAGCGAAAGUGACGGUACCUGCAGAAAAAGCGCCGGCUAACUACGUGCCAGCAGCCGCGGUAAUACGUAGGGCGCAAGCGUUAUCCGGAAUUAUUGGGCGUAAAGAGCUCGUAGGCGGUUUGUCGCGUCUGCUGUGAAAUCCCGAGGCUCAACCUCGGGCCUGCAGUGGGUACGGGCAGACUAGAGUGCGGUAGGGGAGAUUGGAAUUCCUGGUGUAGCGGUGGAAUGCGCAGAUAUCAGGAGGAACACCGAUGGCGAAGGCAGAUCUCUGGGCCGUAACUGACGCUGAGGAGCGAAAGGGUGGGGAGCAAACAGGCUUAGAUACCCUGGUAGUCCACCCCGUAAACGUUGGGAACUAGUUGUGGGGUCCAUUCCACGGAUUCCGUGACGCAGCUAACGCAUUAAGUUCCCCGCCUGGGGAGUACGGCCGCAAGGCUAAAACUCAAAGGAAUUGACGGGGACCCGCACAAGCGGCGGAGCAUGCGGAUUAAUUCGAUGCAACGCGAAGAACCUUACCAAGGCUUGACAUAUACGAGAACGGGCCAGAAAUGGUCAACUCUUUGGACACUCGUAAACAGGUGGUGCAUGGUUGUCGUCAGCUCGUGUCGUGAGAUGUUGGGUUAAGUCCCGCAACGAGCGCAACCCUCGUUCUAUGUUGCCAGCACGUAAUGGUGGGAACUCAUGGGAUACUGCCGGGGUCAACUCGGAGGAAGGUGGGGAUGACGUCAAAUCAUCAUGCCCCUUAUGUCUUGGGCUUCACGCAUGCUACAAUGGCCGGUACAAAGGGCUGCAAUACCGUGAGGUGGAGCGAAUCCCAAAAAGCCGGUCCCAGUUCGGAUUGAGGUCUGCAACUCGACCUCAUGAAGUCGGAGUCGCUAGUAAUCGCAGAUCAGCAACGCUGCGGUGAAUACGUUCCCGGGUCUUGUACACACCGCCCGUCAAGUCAUGAAAGUCGGUAACACCUGAAGCCGGUGGCCUAACC